UGGCGGCGUGCUUAACACAUGCAAGUCGAGCGAUGAAGCUCCUUCGGGAGUGGAUUAGCGGCGGACGGGUGAGUAACACGUGGGUAACCUGCCUCAUAGAGGGGAAUAGCCUUUCGAAAGGAAGAUUAAUACCGCAUAAGAUUGUAGUACCGCAUGGUACAGCAAUUAAAGGAGUAAUCCGCUAUGAGAUGGACCCGCGUCGCAUUAGCUAGUUGGUGAGGUAACGGCUCACCAAGGCGACGAUGCGUAGCCGACCUGAGAGGGUGAUCGGCCACAUUGGGACUGAGACACGGCCCAGACUCCUACGGGAGGCAGCAGUGGGGAAUAUUGCACAAUGGGGGAAACCCUGAUGCCAGCAACGCCGCGUGAGUGAUGACGGCCUUCGGGUUGUAAAACUCUGUCUUUGGGGACGAUAAUGACGGUACCCAAGGAGGAAGCCACGGCUAACUACGUGCCAGCAGCUGC
rnacentral:rRNA from 1 species